GAUGAACGCUGGCGGCGUGCUUAACACAUGCAAGUCGAACGAAGCACCUUGAUUCGAUUCUUCGGAUGAAGAUCUUGGUGACUGAGUGGCGGACGGGUGAGUAACGCGUGGGUAACCUGCCUCAUACAGGGGGAUAACAGUUAGAAAUGACUGCUAAUACCGCAUAAGACCACAGCACCGCAUGGUGCAGGGGUAAAAACUCCGGUGGUAUGAGAUGGACCCGCGUCUGAUUAGGUAGUUGGUGGGGUAACGGCCUACCAAGCCGACGAUCAGUAGCCGACCUGAGAGGGUGACCGGCCACAUUGGGACUGAGACACGGCCCAAACUCCUACGGGAGGCAGCAGUGGGGAAUAUUGCACAAUGGGGGAAACCCUGAUGCAGCGACGCCGCGUGAGCGAUGAAGUAUUUCGGGAUGUAAAGCUCUAUCAGCAGGGAAGAAAAUGACGGUACCUGACGAAGAAGCACCGGCUAAAUACGUG
rnacentral:rRNA from 1 species